GACGAACGCUGGCGGCGUGCUUAACACAUGCAAGUCGAGCGGAAAGGCCACUUCGGUGGUACUCGAGCGGCGAACGGGUGAGUAACACGUGAGUAAUCUGCCCCUGGCUUUGGGAUAGCCACCGGAAACGGUGAUUAAUACCGGAUAUGACCACUUCUCGCAUGGGAUGGUGGUGGAAAGUUUUUCGGCCAGGGAUGUGCUCGCGGCCUAUCAGCUUGAUGGUGAGGUAAUGGCUCACCAUGGCUUCGACGGGUAGCCGGCCUGAGAGGGUGACCGGUCACACUGGGACUGAGACACGGCCCAGGCUCCUACGGGAGGCAGCAGUGGGGAAUAUUGGACAAUGGGCGGAAGCCUGAUCCAUCAACGCCGCGUGAGGGAUGACGGCCUUCGGGUUGUAAACCUCUUUCAGUACCGACGAAGCGCAAGUGACGGUAGGUACAGAAGAAGCACCGGCCAACUACGUGCCAGCCGCCGCCGUAAUAC
rnacentral:rRNA from 1 species